ensembl:lncRNA LINC01524 long intergenic non-protein coding RNA 1524
GACCUGGGAAAGGAAAGAGCCAGUUGAGGAAAAGCCCUUUGUCCCUUCUUUGUUUAUAUCUCCAACUUCCCGAUUUUUCCUGUGGCUGUGAUGGCCAGGAUGUGGCAGCCCUCUGGUUAUAACAGUGUCACAAAUCCUUCAUUGAGGCUGCCUUGCAACCCAAGCUCUGCCUCUCUCCAAUCCUCUCUUUCCCUCCCUUCAUAGGUGCAGAUGCUGAGAGCACUUUCUAGUCAAGUCCUGCAUGUUCAUUUCUGUCUCAAGUCAGCUUCUCUGAGAAUCCAAUUUAUAAAAAUAUAUUUGUGAAUGUAUAAGUAAAGUGACUUGGAUUUUGUCUACGUACAAGGACUUCUAUGCCUGCAUAAAACAGCUUUCAGAGUGACUAACCAUACCAGUUUGACCAAGACUGUAUUGGCUGCAGCACUUAAAAGCUCACAUCCCGGAAAUCCUUUGGUCCUCGGUGAAUUGGGAUGGUUGGUUACCCUAUUACUGAUGAUUGUAAUUCUCAGGAAAGAGAUCUUCAUGUAAACAGAGUCCCUCUUAUUGGCUGAAGUGAAGAGUCAUUCUGAGGCAUCUCAAGAUGAAGGUUUCCUAUUUGUGAUUAUGAAAAAAAUGUCAAGAACAAGUCCCUUGGUGUUCUUAGACCAAAGUCAGAACAACAGACCUACUGGAAUAAACCCCUGUGGCCAAUCUUCUAUGAAUGAAAUUGUCCAUCUUUCCUAGGAAUGAGUCAAUCUGUGUAUUUGUGAAUUUCAAAUAUAAGUGUGACUACUAUGGUAGAAGGAAAUAGCUGUCAGAAUAAAGAGAAAAGGAGA